rnacentral:rRNA from 1 species
UGGGGAAUCUUAGACAAUGGGGGAAACCCUGAUCUAGCGAUGCCGCGUGAGUGACGAAGGCCCUAGGGUCGUAAAGCUCUUUCAACUGUGAAGAUAAUGACGGUAGCAGUAGAAGAAACCCCGGCUAACUCCGUGCCAGCAGCCGCGGUAAUACGGAGGGGGUUAGCGUUGUUCGGAAUUACUGGGCGUAAAGCGCGCGUAGGCGGACUAUUAAGUCGAGGGUGAAAUCCCGGGGCUCAACCCCGGAACUGCCUUCGAUACUGGUAGUCUUGAGUUCGAGAGAGGUGAGUGGAAUUCCGAGUGUAGAGGUGAAAUUCGUAGAUAUUCGGAGGAACACCAGUGGCGAAGGCGGCUCACUGGCUCGAUACUGACGCUGAGGUGCGAAAGUGUGGGGAGCAAACAGGAUUAGAUACCCCCGUAGUCC